rnacentral:lncRNA from 1 species
CUGCCACCCAGGCUGGAGUGCAGUGGUGCAAUCUCGGCUCACUGCAAGCUCCGCCUCCUGGGUUCAAGCAAUUCUCCUGCCUCAACCUCCAGACUACCUGGGACUACAGGCGCACGCUGCCAUGCCCGGCUAAUUGUUUUGUAUUUUAGUAGAGACGUGGUUUCACCGUGUUGCCCAGGCUGGUCUCCAACUCCUGAGCUCACGAAAUCUGCCCGCCUCGGCCUCCUAAAGUGCUAGGAUUACAGGCAUGAGCCACCGCGCGUGGCCUCCCUAGCAAUAUUUAACUUGGUGCUUAUGGUCCCCAGAGCUGGCCCUGAAGCUUGGAUGACUGCCAGGCCUGGGUACUUCCUUCUGCUUCUCCCACUGGCAGGGACUGUCCUGGGCUGCUUUCUUUCCACCAUGCCCUCUCACGGAGCAGGGUCGCCACAGGGCACUUUGCCACACCUGGACCUCGCCCACAACUCUGCUUUCAGAGGCUCCUGCUCAUAAGUCUCUUCAGACUCCAGACCCAUCUACAGUAGCCUCUGGACCCUGGGCAGGUGUGCCACUGUCCCCCACCUCCCUGGUCCCCUCCUGACUGCACAUUCAGUAGCUACAGGUCCACUUCAUUCCCCUGCUAAAGUUCUGCUCAUCUGGCCUUCCCUGUCUGGCCUCCAGCCUCACAGUUUCUCACUGAGACCAACGCAGCAGCCUCCUGAUCUCAUCUCCCUGCCUCUGGGCAAACCAUCUCUGAGCCAUCACCCACUCCAAGGCCAGGCUGUUGUUAAACUCACAGAUCUGACCUCACCACUGCCCUGACUGCAACUCUUUAUGGGUCUUCCUUUGUUAUCAGCAAUACAAAAUUAAUACAGGAGACUUUCUCCACAAGGAAAAUCCAAGGUCCAUAUCCUC